AUGAGCAGUCGCCGCCCCGCCGCGACCCCGGCUGUGCCCCGGGAUCCGCACCUCGGGGCUGCCCACGUCCGCCGCCCGGGGGUCUGGGUCCCCGGGAGCGGAGCCGCGCCGAGGGCGCCCUCCCGCCCCCCCCGCCCGGGGCCCAGCUCUUACCGCGCCGCUUCGGGCAGGGCCGGCGGCUCUCGGGGCCGGGCUCCGCGGGGCGCGUCGGACGCGAGCGAGGGCGGCGGGGCGGGGGGGUCCGGGCGCGGGGCGCGGGGCGCGGGGCGCGGGCACCCGGCGGGGGUCGGGAGCCGGGGACGCUGGCGGGGCGAGGCGGGCGGCUCCGGGGCUGGAGGACCGGGCCGCACCGCGCUCCGUGCCGCCACCGGAGGAAGUAACCGGCCGGUCCCCUCCGCGGCGCGCUCUUCAGGGCCGGGGGAGGAGAGAGGAGGGAGGAAAGACGACAGAGGGGAGGGGAGGAGGGGCGAGGGGGAGGGGAGGAGAGAGGGGAGGGAGGAGACGGGAGGAGGAGAGACGGGAGGGGGGGAGGGAGGAGGGAAAGGAGGGGGAGGAAGGGCGGCGGGAGGGGAGAGGAGUGGAGGGACGGAGGAGGAGGAGGAGGAGGAGGAGGAGGAGGAGGGCGGGCAGCGGCGCCGAGGAGGGGUGAGGACGCGAGGGGAGGGGCGCGGGGCGGGGCCGGCUCCCUCCUGCCGGGACGGCGCGGGGCGCCCGCUGUCACCUGGCUGCGGCCCUCGCCUGCGGCUCUGGGACCGCGGGGCCUCCCCUCCCCCCCUCCCCCCGUCCCGGGGCCUUCACCCCAAAGGCGCCCCUGGGCCCGGGCAGGAGCGGGGUGGGGGCACCGAGUGGCCGCGGGGCUUGGGUAACAAGGGGCUCCCUCCGGCCCGGCUCCUGGACCCCCUCCUGGCCUCGCGAUUUCUCAUUCUAUCACGAAGUCUCCAAAAUGCGUCUGCGGUGCCAAAAGGUCCGAAUCGAGGCCCUCGGCUGGGCCGCGGAGCCCGCGCCGCUCCGGGACGCCCCCGGCCCCCGGCCCCCGGCUUCGUGUGA
rnacentral:lncRNA from 1 species